rnacentral:rRNA from 1 species
GCCUACGGGACGCAGCAGUGAGGAAUAUUGGUCAAUGGCCGGAAGGCUGAACCAGCCAAGCCGCGUGAGGGAGGAAGGCGCAGAGCGUCGCAGACCUCUUUUGCCGGGGGACAAAAGGCCGGACUCGUCCGGUCCUGAGGGUACCCGGAGAAAAAGCAUCGGCUAACUCCGUGCCAGCAGCCGCGGUAAUACGGAGGAUGCGAGCGUUAUCCGGAUUUAUUGGGUUUAAAGGGUGCGUAGGCGGGCUUUUAAGUCAGCGGUAAAAAUUCGGGGCUCAACCCCGUCCGGCCGUUGAAACUGGGGGC